UUGCACACGCCUCGCAUCGCAGUCUCCCCCAUUAUGUGUGCMCAAUUGUCAGGGGSUGUUUUCUCAGUUCCCCUUGUUUAUCCAUUUGGUUGCGGGGCGCCUCAAUGGGUGCCUGUGCGGUCUUACCGUCGUUGGUACCACAAUGUUCCCUCUGUUUCGUAUUAUGCUUGCUCCGUCGAUGCUAUAUGCAUCGAUGGGCGGCCGAGGUGUUGGCAAAUUCUGUGCGCUGCGAUGCACUUUGUGCGUCGGAACUGCUUAUCGGAUGUUUGUCGGGUCUCACGGAUAUCAGUCCAUAUGUGAGGGGUCUGCGGGCUUCAAGCGUGCAGGCUCAUGGUGUUGCCCGUACACAAAUUUGUUGCUGAUGGUGACUUGACACGUGUUCCUUUGGGAUUCAUGUCGAUGAAACAUCAGCAACAAAUUUGUGAGCGUGUGCAUAUCCUUACCGACUAGAAUGAUAUGCGAUUGCCGGAAUUGUCACGGGGCG
rnacentral:misc_RNA from 1 species